rnacentral:misc_RNA from 1 species
UGAGAGAGUUUACAACGGUCGGACAGGUGAAAUGGUUCAUUCCCUGAUUUUCAUGGGCCCAACAUUUUACCAACGCCUCAUCCAUAUGGCUGAAGACAAGGUGAAAUUCCGUAACACUGGACCUGUCCAUCCCCUUACUCGCCAACCAGUGGCAGACAGAAAACGCUUUGGUGGAAUUAAGUUUGGUGAAAUGGAGCGUGACUGUCUUAUAGCUCAUGGUGCUGCAGCAAAUCUGCAUGAACGCCUUUUCACACUCAGUGACUCUUCCCAGAUGCACAUAUGUGGUAAGUGCAAGAACAUGGCAAAUGUAAUCCAGCGAACUGUG